rnacentral:rRNA from 1 species
UACGUAGGGUGCAAGCGUUAAUCGGAAUUACUGGGCGUAAAGCGUGCGCAGGCGGUUCGCUAAGACCGAUGUGAAAUCCCCGGGCUUAACCUGGGAACUGCAUUUGUGACUGCAUGGCUGGAGUGCGGCAGAGGGGGAUGGAAUUCCGCGUGUAGCAGUGAAAUGCGUAGAGAUCCGGAGGAACCCCAGAGGCGAAGGCGGCCCCCUGGCUCGUACCUGACGCUCAGCCACGAAAGCAUGGGGAGCGAACGGG